rnacentral:ribozyme from 1 species
CUAUGGACUUGAUUGUAUUGAGCCUUGGUAUGGAAACCUGCUAAAUGGUAACUUCCAAAUUCAGAGAAACCCUGGAAUUAAAAAAGGGCAAUCCUGAGCCAAAUCCGUGUUUUGAGAAAACAAGGGGUUCUCGAACUAGAAUACAAAGGAAAAGGAUAGGUGCAGAGAGUCAAGGGAAGUGCUCCCG